CAGAGCCAGUAAAGGCAGACACACUGAAGCUCAUUGGAGAGAGGGCAUGAGAAUAUGUUUCAAAAGGAACCACCUGG
rnacentral:snoRNA from 1 species